UACGUAGGGUGCGAGCGUUAAUCGGAAUUCUGGGCGUAAAGCGUGCGCAGGCGGCUUCGCAAGUCAGACGUGAAAUCCCCGGGCUUAACCUGGGAAUGGCGUUUGAAACUACGGAGCUGGAGUGUGGCAGAGGGAGGUAGAAUUCCACGUGUAGCGGUGAAAUGCGUAGAUAUGUGGAGGAAUACCGAUGGCGAAGGCAGCCUCCUGGGCCGGAUCCGACGCUGAUGCGCGAAAGCGUGGGGGAGCAAACAGG
rnacentral:rRNA from 1 species